AUUGAACGCUGGCGGCAGGCCUAACACAUGCAAGUCGAGCGAGCGGCGGACGGGUGAGUAAUGUCUGGGAGACUGCCUGAUGGAGGGGGAUAACUACUGGAAACGGUAGCUACUCCUGCAUACCAUCAGAUGUGCCCAGACGGCACUAGCUGGUAGGUGGGGUAACGGCCCACCCAGGCGACGAUCCCUAGCCGGUCUGAGAGGAUGACCAGCCACACUGGAACUGAGACACGGUCCAGACUCCUACGUGAGGCAGCAGUGGGGAAUAUUGCACAAUGUGCGCAAGCCUGAUCCAGCCAUGCCGCGUGUGUGAAGAAGGCCUUCGGGUUGUAAAGCACUUUCAGCGGGGAGGCGUUACCCGCAGAAGAAGCACCGGCUAACUCCGUGCCAGCAGCCGCGGUAAUUC
rnacentral:rRNA from 1 species